rnacentral:rRNA from 1 species
AUUGAACGCUGGCGGCAGGCCUAACACAUGCAAGUCGAACGAGUGGCGGACGGGUGAGUAAUGUCUGGGAAACUGCCCGAUGUAGGGGGCUCACUACUGGAAACGGUAGCUAAUACUGCAUACGAUCGGUUGUGGCCAGAUGGGAUUAGGUAGUAGGUGGGGUAACGGCUCACCUAGACGACGAUCCCUAGCUGGUCUGAGAGGAUGACCAGCCACACUGGAACUGAGACACGGUCCAGACUCCUACGGGAGGCAGCAGUGGGGAAUAUUGCACAAUGGGCGCAAGCCUGAUGCAGCCAUGCCGCGUGUAUGAAGAAGGCCUUCGGGUUGUAAAGUACUUUCAGCGGGGAGGCGUUACUCGCAGAAGAAGCACCGGCUAACUCCGUGCCAGCAGCCGCGGUAAUAC